CUGCCCCUCGCCUCUCUUCCCCUCAAGUUUGAAUUGCCAUUUGGAAAAGGAAGGGUCUUUUGGAAAUUGGAGGUAAACACCUCGCCGGCAUUUUUGAAUGGAAGGACCAUUUUCAAAGGACACUACUGAGAGAUGCUGUCAAAUUUUUGUUUCUUUUCCCAGAAUUUGCAAAUUAAACUCUUUAUAACUGCAUAUCUCAUCAGGAAAGUAAAAAUAUUGAAUACCAAGGUUUUUUUCUCUCUCUCGCUUAAGAACAAGAAUGAAUUUUUCAACGUCCAGAAGAUUUCUAGCUUUCCCCUGAAUGCUCUGCUCAGCAUCAAGGCAAAUCCCAAGUUAAGCUAUCAGAGACAAAAACCAAGACCUUAUCUAAAACUUUCCUUCAGAGGAGUCAAAGCAUUCAGUAAACAUUAACAAGUUGAAGUAAUUCUCU